rnacentral:lncRNA from 1 species
GACCCUCGGGCCUUUGGCCACAGACUGAAGGCUGCACUGUCAGUUUCCCUACUUUUGAGGUUUUGGGACUCAGACUGAUCUGCCACUGGCUUCCUUGGUCCUCAACUAGCAGACAGCCUAUCAUGGAACUUUACCUUGUGAUGGUAAUAACGUAGAUGACAGGAAGAAAUAGCAUUUGAAAAAAAUUGCAUGCUUGAAAAAGUGGAACAAUACUAACCAGUGCCUAAGAGGGGCACAAAACUGUCUAUACUUUUUACACUUCAAUGGAUGUGAAAUAAUUACAUCUUAUGGAAUCAGAAUUUCAGAGUUCAAAGAAAUAUUAAUGGUCUUUCAGGCUACGAAUAAGAAAACUGAGAAGAAUACUAGAGAACAAAUACAAACGAGAUAAACACAUCAGAGAGGACAUCAGAAGAUGAUUACUACAAAUCAUUGGAACAUAAGAAGGAGUGAUAAUGGGUUUAGCAAAAAAGGAAGAAGCUUCAAUAUAAAAUACUCUUAUAGUAAGAUUCUCUUGACAAAGGAACUGCAGCUCUGCUUUUCAGAACUCUGGAAAGACUCAGAGAGGAUCUAAAAACAUCCUACAUGAUUAAUGGAACGCAUGAGAUGAGCUGGAAGGAGGGGGAAGAAGGAUUAAAUGUUCCAUCUCUCAACUUAUGACGGAGGAUCACAACAAUUGAGUGGUCAUUGUUGAGAUACUGAGAUCAUCUUAACAGAACUGCUGGUCUUCUGCCUAAUUAUCUUCCAUUAAACUUUCACAAAUAGAUAAUCCCUAUUCACACACAGAGAACUUUCAAUAGCUUUUCAUUGCUUCUUUCUUAAAUAAAAUUGCAUAACCAAUUGCACCAUAUGUUUAAGAAAAAAUUGCAACAUAAAAAUGAGAGACCAAAUAAUUAAACAUAAAAUUAUUCUUUGACAAAAACUAUGAUUGUUAAUAGAACAUAAUAUGGAAGACAUUUUAAGCAUUCUGAUAGAGAUUUCAGAUGACAUUCAUCAUUUCAAGACCAGCAUGUGAUGAAAAGCAUGUCAAACAAAUAAAAACAAAACAAAAAAGGACCCCACGUGAAAUAAAAUUUGAUUCUGGCAAAAUAAACUGAAUAUGUUUUUUUAAUAGGAAUGCCAUGAGAUAAAGUUAAAGAAAGAUCCAGAAAGUAGAAAAAAAAGAAAAUAUGGAGAAAAUGUGGAGAUCAAAAUCUAACUAAUAAAGAUUUCAGAGAGAAUUAAAAAAACAGAAAACAAUAAUUUCACAAAAAUACAGUAACAUUUUCCAGAACUGAGGAACAAAGUAAUAAUCCUUUUUAAAUGGAGAGAAGUCAUGAAUAAAUGAACCAAAAACAUGUAUCUAGAUGUACCCUCAUGGCAUUUCAGAAAACAAAAAUUAAAGGGAAUUUUUCAAGAAAAGUAAAGCAGGUCACAUACAAAGGACUGCAAAUCAGACUGGUAACAGAUUUUUUAAUCAAUACUCAAAGUUUCAGAAGGUGCACAGCAGUGUUUUCAACAUUCUGAGGGGAUUAAUUCUCAACCUACAAUUAUAUCCUUAAACUGCAUAGAAAACUACAUAGUAUAACUUUAGAUAGAAGGCAUUUUCAGACAAAGACCCAAAAAGUUUAUCUUUCCAAGACCCUUUUCUAAAAAGCUAUUUCAGGAUAUACUUCUGCAAAAUGAGGCAAUGCACCAGUAAAGAAGAAAACAAAGCCUUCAUAAAACUGUUGAUGCAGUUAAGGAGAAUAAUUAAGGGAACUUAAUUAGGUCAAGGGAGCUUAGUUAGGGUCUCAGGGAAAAGGAAUACUGGCAAGUCUUAGUGGGAAGCAUUAAAAGCAUUUAAAUAUGUAAGUGUAACAUCUGGGGGAAUUAUAAAGUAGAUGAUAUAAUCUUCAACGAUUUAAAAAUGAUAAAAUAAUUAUUAAUAAUUAUGAGGUGAAGGAAGGGAUACGGAAAGUCAUGACAUAAUGUAAAUUUUCACUAUAUUUUAUUGAGGUGGCAUGAUCAAUAAUGUUUAAAACUGAAACAUUCUGUUAUAAAAACAUAAGUUCUGGAUAUUUUGUUCACAUAUAAGUAGACACACACACACGCAUAUAUUUUUCUUUUUUCUAUAGAUCAGUUAGCCAAUAAUAGGUAUGUCAUGGACAAUUAGUAGUUCGGUAAUUAAGUUUCAGUCUAGUUUCUUUUCUCAAAUACAAAUAAGAUUAAAUAAAAUAAUUAGAUUGCCUUAGCCUAGGUGCCUAGAAAACAUACUGGGGCAAAGUUUACAUAUUAGUAAUGUAUUUGGAGUGCAAACUCAGGGCACCAAAAGUAAAAAAAAAGAAAGAAAGAAAGAGAGAGAGAGAG